AAAUUGAAGAGUUUGAUCAUGGCUCAGAUUGAACGCUGGCGGCAGGCCUAACACAUGCAAGUCGAACGGUAACAGGAAGCAGCUUGCUGCUUUGCUGACGAGUGGCGGACGGGUGAGUAAUGUCUGGGAAACUGCCUGGUGGAGGGGGAUAACUACUGGAAACGGUAGCUAAUACCGCAUAACGUCGCAAGACCAA
rnacentral:rRNA from 1 species